rnacentral:rRNA from 1 species
GACGUAGGGCGCGAGCGUUGUCCGGAUUGAUUGGGCGUAAAGAGCUCGUAGGCGGCUCGUUGCGUCGGCUGUGAAAACCCGCAGCUCAACUGUGGGCCUGCAGCUGAUACGGGCGGGCUGGAGUUCGGUAGGGGAGACUGGAAUUCCUGGUGUAGCGGUGAAAUGCGCAGAUAUCAGGAGGAACACCGGUGGCGAAGGCGGGUCUCUGGGCAGUAACUGACGCUGAGGAGCGAAAGCGUGGGGAGCGAACAGG